rnacentral:rRNA from 4 species
GCCCAGCCGUAAACUUUUACUUACAUUGAAUCGCCAGGGAACUACGAGCUAAGCUUAAAACCCAAAGGACUUGACGGUACCCCAUAUCCCCCUAGAGGAGCCUGUCCUAUAAUCGAUAAUCCACGUUUAACCUCACCAUUUUUAGUUACUCAGCCUGUAUACCUCCGUCGUCAGCUUACCACGUGAGCGCCAAUUAGUGAGCUUAAUGUUUAUUCACCAACACGUCAGGUCAAGGUGCAGCAAAUGAAAUGGAAAGAGAUGGGCUACACUUUCUAAAUUAGAAGAAACGAAAAACUAUCUAUGAAACCUAGUUAGAAGGCGGAUUUAGCAGUAAAAAGGAAUCAGCACAUCCAUUUUAACCCGGCACUGGGGUGUGU